rnacentral:rRNA from 1 species
CUCUGGGUCAACCUCCCACCCGUGUUUAUCGUACCUUGUUGCUUCGGCGGGCCCGCCUCACGGCCGCCGGGGGGCAUCUGCCCCCGGGCCCGCGCCCGCCGAAGACACCAAUGAACUCUUGUCUGAAGAUUGCAGUCUGAGCAGAUUAGCUAAAUCAGUUAAAACUUUCAACAACGGAUCUCUUGGUUCCGGCAUCGAUGAAGAACGCAGCGAAAUGCGAUACGUAAUGUGAAUUGCAGAAUUCAGUGAAUCAUCGAGUCUUUGAACGCACAUUGCGCCCCCUGGUAUUCCGGGGGGCAUGCCUGUCCGAGCGUCAUUGCUGCCCUCAAGCACGGCUUGUGUGUUGGGCUUCGCCCCCCGGCUCCCGGGGGGCGGGCCCGAAAGGCAGCGGCGGCACCGCGUCCGGUCCUCGAGCGUAUGGGGCUUCGUCACCCGCUCUGUAGGCCCGGCCGGCGCCCGCCGGCGACCCCAAUCAAUCUUUCCAGGUUGACCUCGGAUCAGGUAGGGAUACCCGCUGAACUUAAGCAUAUCAAUAAGCGAGAGGAA